rnacentral:rRNA from 1 species
AACGAACGCUGGCGGCAGGCCUAACACAUGCAAGUCGAGCGGGGACUUCGGUCCUAGCGGCGGACGGGUGAGUAACGCGUGGGAACGUGCCCUUUGCUUCGGAAUAGCCCCUGGAAACGGGGGAGUAAUACCGGAUGUGCUCGAGAGAGGAAAGAUUUUUCGGCAAAGGAUCGGCCCGCGUUGGAUUAGCUAGUUGGUGAGGUAAAGGCUCACCAAGGCGACGAUCAGUAGCUGGUUUGAGAGAACGACCAGCCACACUGGAACUGAGACACGGUCCAGACUCCUACGGGAGGCAGCAGUGGGGAAUUUUGGACAAUGGGGGGCAACCCUGAUCCAGCAAUGCCGCGUGAGUGAAGAAGGCCUUCGGUUGUAAAGCUCUUUGUUCUAGGGAAGAAACGGUAGAGUUCUAAUAAAGACUUGCUAAUGACGGUACCUGAAGAAUAAGACACCGGCUAACUACGUAGCCAGCAGCCGCGGUAAU